GACCGGCCGGCUAGGUAAACCCCACCUGGAGCAAGACCGAAUAGGGGGACAUUGGGAUUGCCCGUCCCGUUCCCGGGUAAGGUUGCUGGAGGUACUAGGUAACUAGUAUCCUAGAUAGAUGACCGCUUUUAACAAAACUCGGCUUAUAGAUUUGCUCAAUUG
rnacentral:RNase_P_RNA from 1 species